rnacentral:lncRNA from 1 species
AGUCUUUACAACAAGACUCAUAUUUAUCCUAUGAGUCUUACUCAAUUGGAUGACAAAACAAUAUCCAUAUAUGUUUUGUGUACAUAGACUCUUUGUAAGUCACAUUCUCAUCUUCCAUGAGCAUCAUAUAUCACCUUGUCGAGUCAUGGUAAAACCGUGACUCUCAACUGUGUGAUAUGACAUAUCCGACUUAUAUAGGUCUUGUGC